GCGGAUAUAGUUUAGUGGUAGAAUGAGUGCUUCCCAAGCAUUAGGCGCGAGUCCGAUUCUCGCUAUCCGCA
rnacentral:tRNA from 1 species